CCGAGUGAGGGCUCACGCCCGACCUCCAACCCACUGUGAACCAAUGUCGUUGCUUCGGGGGCGACCCUGCCGGCACUCUGUCGCCGGGCGCCCCCGGAGGUCUCCUGAACACUGCAUCUCUGCGUCGGAGUUCAAUUAAAUCGAACA
rnacentral:misc_RNA from 1 species